CGUGCUUAACACAUGCAAGUCGAACGAUGAUGAUGAGCUUGCUUAGCGGAUUAGUGGCGAACGGGUGAGUAACACGUGAGUAACCUGCCCUUGACUCUGGGAUAAGCGUUGGAAACGACGUCUAAUACCGGAUAUGACGACCGAGCGCAUGUUCUGGUUGUGGAAAGAUUUUUUGGUCAAGGAUGGACUCGCGGCCUAUCAGGUUGUUGGUGAGGUAAUGGCUCACCAAGCCUACGACGGGUAGCCGGCCUGAGAGGGUGACCGGCCACACUGGGACUGAGACACGGCCCAGACUCCUACGGGAGGCAGCAGUGGGGAAUAUUGCACAAUGGGCGAAAGCCUGAUGCAGCAACGCCGCGUGAGGGAUGACGGCCUUCGGGUUGUAAACCUCUUUUAGUAAGGAAGAAGAACUUCGGUUUGACGGUACUUGCAGAAAAAGCACCGGCUAACUACGUGCCAGCAGCCGCGGUAAUACGUAGGGUGCAAGCGUUGUCCGGAAUUAUUGGGCGUAAAGAGCUCGUAGGCGGUUUGUCGCGUCUGCUGUGAAAUCUGGGGGCUCAACCCCCAGCCUGCAGUGGGUACGGGCAGACUAGAGUGCGGUAGGGGAGAUUGGAAUUCCUGGUGUAGCGGUGGAAUGCGCAGAUAUCAGGAGGAACACCGAUGGCGAAGGCAGAUCUCUGGGCCGUAACUGACGCUGAGGAGCGAAAGCAUGGGGAGCGAACAGGAUUAGAUACCCUGGUAGUCCAUGCCGUAAACGUUGGGAACUAGAUGU
rnacentral:rRNA from 1 species